rnacentral:rRNA from 1 species
GAUGAACGCUGGCGGCGUGCCUAACACAUGCAAGUCGAGCGAAGCGCUUAAAUUAGAUUUCUUCGGGAUGACGAUUUUUGUGACUGAGCGGCGGACGGGUGAGUAACGCGUGGGUAACCUGCCUCAUACAGGGGGAUAACAGUUAGAAAUGACUGCUAAUACCGCAUAAGACCCCAGCUUCGCAUGAAGCGGUGGUAAAAACUCCGGUGGUAUGAGAUGGACCCGCGUCUGAUUAGCUAGUUGGUAAGGUAACGGCUUACCAAGGCGACGAUCAGUAGCCGACCUGAGAGGGUGACCGGCCACAUUGGGACUGAGACACGGCCCAGACUCCUACGGGAGGCAGCAGUGGGGAAUAUUGCACAAUGGGGGAAACCCUGAUGCAGCGACGCCGCGUGAAGGAUGAAGUAUUUCGGUAUGUAAACUUCUAUCAGCAGGGAAGAAAGUGACGGUACCUGACGAAGAAGCCCCGGCUAACUACGUG